AUUGAACGCUGGCGGCAGGCCUAACACAUGCAAGUCGAGCGAGCGGCGGACGGGUGAGUAAUGUAUGGGGACUGCCCGAUCGAGGGGGAUAACUACUGGAAACGGUAGCUAAUACCGCAUACUAUCGGAUAACCCAUAUGGGAUUAGCUAGUAGGUGGGGUAAUGGCUCACCUAGGCGACGAUCCCUAGCGGGUCUGAGAGGAUGAUCAGCCACACUGGGACUGAGACACGGCCCAGACUCCGAGGGAGGCAGCAGUGGGGAAUGUGGGACAAUGGGCGCAAGCCUGAUGCAGCCAUGCCGCGUGUAUGAAGAAGGCCCUAGGGUUGUAAAGUACUUUCAGUCGGGAGGCGUUACCGACAGAAGAAGCACCGGCUAACUCCGUGCCAGCCGCCGCGGUAAUUC
rnacentral:rRNA from 1 species